GUCCCUCUCCCUCUCCAGCGCCGCCACCGAGCGGCUCGCGCCGCCGCCGCCGCCGCCGCCACCCCUCGCGCCGCCAUCUCCACCAUCGCCGUCGCCGUCGCCUCGCCUCGUCACGGCCGCCUCCGCCAUCGCCUCCGCCACCUCCACCAUCGUCGUCGUCGUCGUCGUCGCCACCCCUCUCCCACCAUCGUCUCCGCCAUCGUUGUCGCCGUCGCCUCGCGCCACCACGGUCGCUGCCGCCUCCGACUUCCCCGUCGCCUCGCGUCGUCGUCGCCGUCGCCCGCCCCCGCCACCAUCUCCGGCCCCCCAAACCCUAGCCGCCGCCGCCCGCUCGUUCCGACGGGGAUUCGGAGGGGGUCGAAGGGAGGAAGAGGCGGUGGCGGUCGGCGAAGAGGACGACGAUGGCGACGGCGGCAGCGGCGGAGGAGGCAGACGCGGCGGUGGGAGAUGGAGACGGUGGUGAUGGCGGUCGGCGAAGAGGACGACGAUGGUGACGGCGGCGGCGGAGGAGGAGGCGGAUGUGGCGGCGGAGAGCGAGACGGUGGUGAUGGCGACGACCCCCGCACUCUCUCAUGGCAAUCUCGGGGGAGGUGUCGGGGACCACGGCAACGCUGGUGGUCAUCAAUGGAUUCACGGUCACGGUGGAGUCAGUCGGGGACUCGCGGUGCAUCCUGGACACGCAGGGUGGUGAGGUGCAGUUGCUGACCGUCGACAACUGCCUGGAGAAGAAUGCCGAGGAGCGGGAGCGGGUUAGCGCCAGUGGUGGGGAGGUCGGCCGGCUCAAUCUCUUCGGUGGUCAGGAGUUCUAGGUUGGCCCUCUCCGGUGCUAGACAGGUGGCAUGUGCCUUUCAAGAUCUAUUGGGGACCUCUUCCUGCCGCUCCCAUCAUCCCUCGUUGCCCGCCCCACAUCCCAUCAUCGACGGCGGCGUGGAUUUUGGUGGUCGCGCAGGUCUGGCUGACGAGCUCCAUGGCGGCUCGAAGCAGAUGGCGACCUCAACGGCAACGUGGAUCCAGGCUAGAGCUUGAUAAUGGCACUAAUCUGCCAACGAGCUUGGCGGCAACAUGCCCGGCGGCCGCCGUUAGUUCCUUACCCAGCGCCGUCUCCACCGUCUUCGCUGCCUCCACGGUCAUGGCCAGCGGCGGUUGACCAUGGCAUAUGCUCCGGCAGGCAAAAGCAGAGAGAUGGCCUUCCUCCCCUUUCUCUCCCAUCUCUCCUUAGAUUAAUCUUUCUCUCUCUCAGGCUGCCAUUGUUGUUCUUUUCAUGGAUAAAAUUGUUAGGGAUCGGCAAUAUUUCCUAUUCUAAUUGUGUCUUGACUGAAAAUUAGUUCGAUUAUAUUCAGAGCCCGUGGUUAGGUGAUCCGAGAUUGGUGCUUGCUGGCUGGAUUAGUCAAUUAGAAAAAGGUAGAUUUUGAUAUGCAGUAUUAAUUUGAUCUUGUGAUGAUCUUAGUUCUUGUACCCUGCCUUCCCUUGAGGCUACUUCCGGAUACCCAAGGCCCUAGCGCGAAGACGUGUGAGGGGGCUGCAGGUGAGUCGGGCUAUCGCCGUGGAGCGACCGUGGUGAAGCAGCAGCUCUACAGCGGCCGGAUCAGUGCGGUGGUCCGGUGGCUUUACGGUUGCUAGAGCUGUUGCUGUUUAGGGUCAACUAGGAGGAAGUGUCUGUGUGGUGAUUCAUCACAGUUGCGGCGGUCUCGACCUACAGCAUAUGUCCAUGAUCGAUGCGUGACAAGAGCCGAAAAGGAUCAUCCAUUGUUGAUGCAGUUUUUCAAGCAAGUGGAUAAGAGCAGCAAGUAUUAUGAAUUUCGCUGCAAAACUAGAUUAGUGAAACCAUCAAUCCUCCACUUUCAGAACCUAUACAAGGAAGGGCUCUUGGAGCAACUGCUACAGUCAACUGCUCUACUGGUUAGUUGGUCACUUGGUCGUCACUUGUCAGCCUGACAGUGCAGCAUCUAAAAGCUAACUUAUACAGUGUGCUUUAUCUCUGGCAUUGAUGGAAAGUUUCAAGAUUUGUGCAGUCAAUGAUGGCAUCAUAAAUUGCGUGGAUAUGUUCUUUGACAUGAAAAAAGCUUGAUGUUAAGUACAGAAGAACCAGGGCAAGUCACUAACUUUAUGGUAUUGGAGUUGGAGUAGAAGAUCAGCAGCUCCAUCAUCGACGAUGGCCUGAUCCACAAAGAUGGAUUUUGGUGGUGAUACUUCCAGGGAGAUAAUAUCUUAGGAUGAUCCUGCAUUUUGCAUGGACAGAAGUCUAACAACAGUGGAAUCUUAUCCUUUGGACUGCUAAAAGAUUCUGUCCAAAUAUUUGGUGUCUUGGCUGUAUGCAUCUCAAUUAUGCAGAGGUCUGCUGGGACAAGAAACCUUCGCCGGUGGAGAAUAGCUUGUGUACAAAAAGCACAGCUGUUACUGAAUGAAGCUGCUUCUUGGUCACAUCUUUGGUACCUCUAUGUGAAAGGCACUGACUACUUCCAAUCAAGUGGGUGUCCAUUUAGUUGCAACAAGCGGCGUUACGGCACAAUUAUAUCUGCAGAUUGUACUUUAGCUUGAGGUAGGAUGGUAAAUGCAAGAAGCCAAAGCGGAAGUAUAAGGCUGUACUAUUGGGCUUUUCACAGAUCAAGAGGCUAGAUCUCUUUCUCAUCUGUGGCCAAAAACAUUCAAGAUGAAACCUCCAGAAGGGCAAGAUAUUGGACUGUGCUUCAUUAGUUCUCUUCAAAGACCAAACGGGAGUUCUGACCAUCUCCUGAAAAAUAUUUCUUUGCAUAUUGGGUUACGAACCAAGGCUGGUGCUACUAGGAAAAUGUAAUAAGUUUUACUUUUGGGGUGUUUUCGGAGAGCUGCACAGAUACUAUAAUCAAACAGGUAAUGUUAAGAUUGGCAAUACCGACUCGUGAGACAAAUUUGAAGAUAUUGGCAUGAACUUGGACUUGACAAAUGGCAAAGAGUUAAACAGAGGCAAAUGUGGGAGUUAAAAGAGAGGCAAAUGUGGGGUUGAGGUGUCAUUUGAGAGGCACAAAUGUAAGGAAACUGGCAAGAUUUUGGAGACACAAGACAAAGAAACAUAGAAGGGAAAAUGUGGGGAGAUUAGUAAUAAAUUGGAUGUGGCAGUUAGCAGGUAAAGAGAUAGGAUCAACAAAUGUAUGAAAAUGCUGAAGACUCCUGAUCCAAAUGCUGCGGCAAGCUCUUUAGGAUGGUAACAGCAAAGAAGCUGAAGGGCAAGGAUGAGGCUGUACUGUUGAGCUCUUGGCAACUCAAGUAAAAGGGGUAGAAGGCUCGGAUGAUUCAGGUGCUGCUGUUCAUUGUCGGAAUAAACACUGCGCCAACUGGUCUUCGGGCCUUGUCUUCUGGCUCUGAUGCAAGGAUCGUACGCCGUUGUUACACUGAGAGUUUCCAUUAUACUGGCCUGCCAUCCCCGCAAUGAAGCAGGUCCUUAUGAGGGGGAAAAGGGUCGGGUGAUCCAGGCGCUGUUGCUGCUCUUCAUUAGCGGGAUUAACACGCUGUGCCAAUUGUUCUUUGGAUCUUGUCUCCUGGCUCUGAUGGAAUGGUUGUACCCUGUUGUAGAUCUUCUGUUAUUACAAAUAAUCUGGGAUUCAUAAAGUUCUUUGUUAGGCAAGGUUGCAUGCUUGGAUUGGAGUAGUUCCUGGAGAGUUUUGGUGCCUCGCCUGAAGUGUUUCCUGAGAUUUGCUUUGCUUGGAAAUGAAUGUAAUCUUUUUUUAUUGGCGGUUUUUGUUGGUUUGUAUCUUACUAAAUACAUGUAUUGCUCAUCUGGUAAUUCAGACUCAAGUGAGUUAGCCUAUGCUGAUGAUGUUA